GUCAGCCUUACGGUCUGAAUAUUACGUGUUUGUUUUGCAUUGCCAAAGGAAUAUUGAUAUGUGGCUUACAUUUUGUUUUUGCUUUUUGGUGUUCAACCAUCAUAGUCUGAUUGCUAGAUGUGAAGCCAAAAAACGACCUCCUUCUCAAGCAGCAGAUGCAGCCGUGGAGGGCAUUGGACUUGGUGGAUCUUUCGUUGACGUUGGGGCUAACUCGGCUUCGCCUAAUGUGAGAAAUAAAGCCAUAGAAAACAUUCAUACCACUCAAAUUUAGCCAGUCAGAAUGAUGGGAAGGAUUGCAAAACUGAGGCUCAUGAUGACUUCUGAGAAUAAAACAGCUUGGUGUAAUUUGACAGUAUUUUCCAGUAUUUGACAGUGGUUCUAUCAUGUAACAGACAUACCAUGAAGUGCCUCAUAAAUUCUCUCUUAAUUCCUGCAAUAUCCAAGAUUACAGUGUAGUGCAAAGAGGAUUAAUUUUCUUGCAAUAAGAAGUAUCUGCACUUUCAAAUACCCCUGUAUAGCAUGAACAUUUUCUUCAUUUUUGAGUGAUUAUAGAGUGAAAAUACAGCCAAACCCCAAUCAGAUUGUUAAGGUGACCAAAAGUAGAUGCUAACUUCUUUAAAUUUAGUGCGUAAUGCCUCUAUAGUUCCCAGCGCUUAUGCGCGAGCCUCUAAAUGGCCCAAUAAAUAAAAACACUUAAUGACUAAACGAAAAUUUAGCAAUUGCAAUCUGCGUAAUAGAUAUUUGCUAAUCUAAUUGAUUUAAAUGUAAUUGAGUCUGGCUUUCGCAUUGGGCGGAAUCUUGAGCUUGGUCACUAACUUGUUUAUAAGUUACAUCAAUUUAUAAAUUGGCAUAUAUCUAUAAUGUGUCUAUUUAUCACCUAAACCAUUUAAUGGAAACUGUCCGAAAUCUUAAGAACUGCGCAAUAUCGGUAUUCAACAAACAAAACGUAAACUUUUUUUGGCAAAUCAGAAAUUUCUAAAGAAUAAAUAAGGAGCACUUAAGUAGCCUCAAAUGCCGUUAUUCGAUAUCGCCAAAUUACCAACUGCAUAAAACCUCUUGACAAUCUAAAGAAAUGUAUUAUCAUCCGUAUAAUGCAUUUUGAGAUUAAAGUAAGUGUUUGGGUGAUAAAUAAUAAUUAGAUUGUUAUUGAUCUGCUGGUAAUAAAAGCGAUUUAAAGAGUUUCAAUAUAAAAAACAUUCAUACUGACAUCAUUU